rnacentral:tRNA from 1 species
GUGGGCGUAGCUCAGUUUGGUAGAGCGCCGCGUUGUGGUCGCGGAUGUCGCGGGUUCAAGUCCCGUCGUUCACCCCA